CCUACUGGAGGCAUCAUUGAGGCAUCUUGGUCAAUGGCCGAGAGGCUGAACCAGCCAAGUCGCGUGAUGUCCUCCUUCCCUCCUUUUUUUCCCCCUCUUUUGUCGUUUCGCCCCGCGCCCCCCGUGUGGGUCAUUGAGCGUACCCGAAGAAAAAGCAUCGGCUAACUCCGUGCCAGCCGCCGCGGUCCUACGGAGGAUGCGCGCGUUCUCCGGCUUUGUGGGGUUUCCCGGGUGCGCAGGCGGAGGUGCAAGUCAGCGGUAAAAUUGCGGGGCUCAACCCCGUACUGCCGUUGAAACUGCAUCCCUUGAGUGCGCGAGAAGUAUGCGGAAUGCGUGGUGUAGCGGUGAAAUGCAUAGAUAUCACGCAGAACUCCGAUUGCGAAGGCAGCAUACCGGCGCGCAACUGACGCUCAUGCACGAAAGCGUGGGUAUCGAACAGGAUUAGAGACCCCAGUAGUC
rnacentral:rRNA from 1 species